rfam:Gemmatimonadetes bacterium 13_1_40CM_69_22 13_1_40cm_scaffold_2, whole genome shotgun sequence.
GCGAUGCGACAGGGGUGCUCAGCCGGGGUGACCCGGACGAGCUGAGAUCACACCCUUUGAACCUGAUCCGGCUAGCACCGGCGAAGGGAGUCGGUAUGAACUGCGU